UGGGAAUGCAAUUUCCUUGCCAUGAGAACUUAGCCACAGAGCUUGUUGAGUAUCCUCACCACAUGGCAAUGACUUGCUCCAGAUGACUAAUGUAAUAGAGAGCAAGGCAAUGUGUUUCUACGAUACUGCCUCAGGAGUCAUACUCUGCUUUUUCCACAAUAUUCUAUUAGUUACCUGGACCAGACUAGUCAGUGUGAGAGGGAAGCACUAAAUACCAGGAUGCAAAAAUCUUUGAGGCCUAUUUUAAAGGCUGGCUACCACAUCACCCUUGAACGGGCUAUAUAGACCAUGGGAAUCAAAUCAGGUGAAUGGUUUAGCCCUAGCUGAAGCUCCUAUCAUGAUGUAAAUGUUCUCUGCCUCCAUUUUUAUUACAAUUAAUGCCCAGAACUCAUACAACCCUAGUUUCUUCAGGAUAUAUAUGUAUAUAUAUAUUCUGGCCAGGAGCAGUGGCUCAUGUCUAUAAUCCAGCAUUUUAGGAGAACGAGGUGGGUGGAUCAUUUCAGGUCAGGAGUUCGAGACCAGCCUGACCAACAUGGUGAAACCCUGUCUCUACUAAAAAAUACAAAAAUUAGCCAGGCGUGGUGGCGGGCACCUGUAAUCCCAGCUACUUGGGAGGCUGAGGCAGGAGAAUCACUUGAACCCAGGAGGCAGAGGUUGCAGUGAGACGAGGUAGUGCCACUGCACCUCCAGCCUGUGCAAUAUAGUGAGACUCCAUCUCAACACAAUAAAAUUUUAAAAAAUCCAAUCAGUAUGCUUUAUAGAUUGUGAAAAUAUCAAAUGGGUAGAUAUGUGACUUAUUUCUUUUAAAAAAGAAAAUAUAAUGUAGAAAGAAGAAAAUACAAAUAAUGUAAUACAAAUGAGUUUCAGUUAUUGCCGUACAAAUUAUUAAUUGUGUUGAUUUUAGGCAAGGAGUUCUCAUCUCUAAAGUGAGAAUUAUGAUGACAAUAAUGAUAGAAAAAAACAUAGUGUGAUUGUAAAAAUUAAAUAUAAAUACAUUUGAGAAGUCACUACAAAACUGUAAUGCAUUGUGAAUAUUGUGAAAUCAAAGUGAUGUCUGAUAAGUGGUGGCUUACAUAACACCACCUUAUCCUGAGUCUGGUUCUAGCUGCAUGAAUAAAAAUGGCAAACAACUACUACUGCUAAUAUGAUAACUAAUAUCAAAUUUGAAGAAAAUGAAGAGAGGAAAGCAGGAGAAAUCCAUUAGACUGUCCUGGGGCAAAGUUCUGCAAAUCAGUAUGGAAGCUGGUGAAUAAAACUACAGCUCCUACCAUUAAGUUGAACAAUUCUGGGAGGCCUUCUGUAUACUUCUCAGCAUGUCAAUGGAAUUGAGCCUCUGUUGCCCUAGCAGUGAUCUCAACAAUACAUUUUUAUAUUAGCUUUUCUCCUUUCCUUAUGCUUCAUGGCUAUGUACAAGCCACCUUUCCCCUAGUAGUUAAGAUUAAGAUAGGUAUGUAGCAUAACUGUAUUGAGAAUAGGAAUGCUGCUUCUGGAACAUAGAUGCUGACAAUAGCAAGCUAAGUGAUUGAAGAGGUGGGAGUGUGGCAGUGGGAGCAGUCCACCAGGGUAUGCAACAAUGAGCUACAGUAUCCACAGAGAGUACAAAAACAAUAAUAAAACUAACAACAUAUCAGAAUGCUUUCCAAGAAUACCAUGUACCAGCAGUUUUACAUAAUGUCAGUGACAAAAUCCUCUUUCCAGCCAGGUUAGGCUGAUCUUGCCACCUGUCUUUUCGUCCUUGUGCCUCUGGAUGCUGAUGUUACUUUUCAAGUCCAAUCAUGAUCUUUUUAGGUACUAUGGUAAAUAAUGCCUAAGUCAAUGCAUUUAUAUCCAAGAAUACUAUUGACUUGCUCUAAGAUAUGCCGCAAAUCUCUAGUCAAUAAGAUGGAAUCUCGGAACUAUUCUUUGGGGAUCUAGAGUUUCAGUGGACAUUACCAAUUUUGUUAUCCAAAUAAAAUUAGCUGUAAUAUUGUAUACAUUCUAUUGUCUUCACUUUUCUAUUUUACCCCAAUGCAUUAUGUCUUUGAGGGAAAUCAAUAGCUUAUACUUAUGUUUUUCACACAGAAUUAUUUCCCAGAUAUUUAGUAGUUUUAAAUGGACAUUGAUGUACAGUCUUUUCAAUAUCCAUUAUUUGAUAAACAUGAAAGCAAUAAAGGGUUUGCCAAUUUGUUCCCAAAUGUAAUUAAUCAUUGACCUCAACAUAUUGUCUCCUGGGGAAGUACAAUAUUACUAAUUAGGGCUUUUUCUCCUCUGUGCCAAUGAAAUAGAAAAAGAAUAUAUAUGAACUGAUUAUAUAAAAUGUACUUUCACAACUCUUCUUGUCAUGGCAGUCAUGACUAAGUCUGAUCAAUUUUUUCCCCACUCC
rnacentral:lncRNA from 1 species